ensembl:lncRNA
UGGGACCACAUCACCACUACUACAGAGAGAAGGCCAGGAACAACUAGAGCACCAUCAAAUCCUAUGGGUAAGACAAGCUCUCAGAGGAAAAAAGGAAGGAAGGAUUUUCCACAUCAGCUACCUGUUUCAAACUUCAUGGGUUUGACUUGGAAGACAACUUGGAUGACUGGAGUGAUCUAGAUGGCCCCAAAAAGCCAAGUACAGGAGAAGGAGGAGGUUGGUCAGACAAGGAUCUCGAAGAUAUCUUGGGAGACGGGGAAUACAAACCUGACAAGAAUAAAGUGGAUGGACUGCCAGACCGAAGGCUUCAUGAAAGAACUGUGCUGCUGUGAACGAUUUUAUUAUUAACAUCGAUGGAAGCUUACUAACCUUGGAUUUUUAUGAAAAUUGGCUUAGCAUCCCAGAUGGAACUCUGGCUGGAAAAAUUAAUGGCAUUCAAAGCUUUUGCAACAGAUGCCAGAACCAAACUUUAUACUAUUAAAACAUCUCAUAUGUGUAUUAGUAAUAAUAAAAAAUUCUUCCAUGAAUAAUUUAGACAGUUACAGGUUAUCUCUGCGCAUAGCUCCACAUGUACUGUGGGGUCAGACUUCGAGAGAUUCAUUAUUUGGGAGUG